rnacentral:rRNA from 1 species
AGAGUUUGAUCAUGGCUCAGGAUGAACGCUAGCGGCAGGCUUAAUACAUGCAAGUCGUGGGGCAGCAUAGGGUAGCAAUACUCUGAUGGCGACCGGCAAACGGGUGCGGAACACGUACGCAACCUUCCUUUAACUGGAGAAUAGCCCCUCGAAAGAGGGAUUAAUACUCCGUAACAUGAUGAUAAGGCAUCUUAUUAUUAUUAUAGCUCCGGCGGUUAGAGAUGGGCGUGCGCCUGAUUAGGUAGUUGGCGGGGUAACGGCCCACCAAGCCUGCGAUCAGUAACUGGUGUGAGAGCACGACCAGUCACACGGGCACUGAGACACGGGCCCGACUCCUACGGGAGGCAGCAGUAAGGAAUAUUGGUCAAUGGACGCAAGUCUGAACCAGCCAUGCCGCGUGGAGGAUUAAGGCCCUCUGGGUUGUAAACUCCUUUUAUCUGGGAAGAAAUCCAUAUAUUCUUAUAUGGUUGACGGUACCAGAGGAAUAAGCACCGGCUAACUCCGUGCCAGCAGCCGCGGUAAUACGGAGGGUGCAAGCGUUAUCCGGAUUCACUGGGUUUAAAGGGUGCGUAGGCGGGUAAGUAAGUCCGUGGUGAAAUCUCUGAGCUUAACUCAGAAACUGCCGUGGAUACUAUUUGCCUUGAAUAUUGUGGAGGUGAGCGGAAUAUGUCAUGUAGCGGUGAAAUGCUUAGAUAUGACAUAGAACACCAAUUGCGAAGGCAGCUCACUACACAAUCAUUGACGCCGAGGCACGAAAGCGUGGGGAUCAAACAGGAUUAGAUACCCUAGUAGUCC